UACAGAGGUGGCAAGCGUUGUUCGGAAUUACUGGGCGUAAAGGGCGCGUAGGCGGUCUUUUAAGUUCCGUGUGAAAUCCCUCGGCUCAACUGUGGAACGGCACGGGAAACUGGGAGGCUUGAGUUCGGGAGAGGGAAGCGGAAUUCCGGGUGUAGCGGUGAAAUGCGUAGAUAUCCGGAGGAACACCGGUGGCGAAGGCGGCUCACUGGCCCGAUACUGACGCUGAGGCACGAAAGCGUGGGUCGCGAAUGGG
rnacentral:rRNA from 1 species